GGUGGGGAUCUUCGGACCUGCCGCUUGAGGAUGAGCCCGCGUACUAUCAGCUAGUUGGUGAGGUAACGGCUCACCAAGGCAAAGACGGUUAGCUGGUCUGAGAGGAUGGUCAGCCACACUGGGACUGAGACACUGCCCAGUCUCCUACGGGAGGCUGCAGUCGAGAAUCAUUCGCAAUGCGCGAAAGCGUGACGAUGCGACGCCGCGUGCAGGAUGACGGCCUUCGGGUUGUAAACUGCUGUCGGGAGGGAGUAAUGUACCGAGUGUUAAUAGCAUUUGGUAGUGAUAGUACCUUCAAAGGAAGCCACGGCUAACUCUGUGCCAGCAGCCGCGGUAAUACAGAGGUGGCGAGCGUUGUUCGGAUUUACUGGGCGUAAAGGGUGCGUAGGCGGCUAAGUAUGUCGGGUGUGAAAUCCCACGUUUCAUGCGUGGAAGUGCAUUCGAAACUGCUAAGCUAGAGUACGGGAGAGGAGAGCGGAAUUCAUGGUGUAGCGGUGAAAUGCGUAGAUAUCAUGAAGAACACCGGUGGCGAAGGCGGCUCUCUGGAACGAUACUGACGCUGAGGCACGAAAGCUGGGGUAGCGAAAAGGAUUAGAUACCCUUGUAGUCCCAGCCGUAAACGGUGUGCACUUGGUGUAGGUUGGUUCACCCCGACCUGUGCCGGAGCUAACGUGUUAAGUGCACCGCCUGGGGAGUACGGUCGCAAGGCUAAAACUCAAAGGAAUUGACGGGGGCCCGCACAAGCGGUGGAACAUGUGGCUUAAUUCGAUGCAACGCGAAGAACCUUACCUGGGCUUGACAUGGAGACUCUUUUUAGAGGUGGUGGCGAAAGUUAUCUUUACUCACACAGGUGCUGCAUGGCUGUCGUCAGCUCGUGCCGUGAGGUGUUGGGUUAAGUCCCGCAACGAGCGCAACCCUUGUGAUUAGUUGCCACUUUACCAGAGAUGGUAGAAGCACUCUAAUCAGACUGCCUGUGAUAAGCAGGAGGAAGGUGGGGAUGACGUCAAGUCAGUAUGGUCCUUAUGUCCAGGGCUGCACACGUGUUACAAUGGACGGUACAGAAGGAAGCGAGACCGCGAGGUGGAGCUAAUCCCUAAAACCGUCCCCAGUUCGGAUUGCAGUCUGCAACUCGACUGCAUGAAGUUGGAAUCGCUAGUAAAGGCGUAUCAGCUACGACGCCUUGAAUACGUUCCCGGGCCUUGUACACACCGCCCGUCACAUCACGAAAGCCGAUUGCACCCGAAGUCGCUAAUCUAACCCGCAAGGGAGGAAAGUGCCGAAGGUGUGGUUGGUAAUUGGGAUGAAGUCGUAACAAGGUA
rnacentral:rRNA from 1 species